GUAAUCUGUGCAAUCACAGGGGAGAGUAUGCAAGAAUAGCAUUUUCAAGAGAAGCACAAAGAGCUUCUCCAUUUCUGAGUUGAGUAUAAACUGGCUUCCUGUUGUCAGUGACCACAAAUACUGAACCUGUGAGUGACAGGGUGAGCCCCUGGCUCUUCACAUUCAGGAAGAUGUCCCUGUGCACCCACAAUGGAGAGGAAUGAUACUGGUGAUCUGCUGCUCUGUGCUAAGUGUUCCCAGAACUUGGAGACUGAGUGUGCACAUCUGCUGGAAGUCUUCUGGGAUUCAAGGCACAGGAGUUUUACAGAAUGAAGAGUAGUUUUUCAGAAAAAAGAGGACAGUAUUGGGAUCAUCUUUGACCUGUUCGAUUGGAAAUAAUAGCUUCCACUGAGGUACAGAAAGUUGGAAAACUUUUAUUCAGAACAAUGAAUUUUAUAGACGAGAAUCGUCAAGACCUCAUUCAAAGGAUGGGGAUGACUGUUAUAAAACAAAUUACGGAUGAUCUGUAUGGGUGGAAUGUUCUGAAUCUUGAAGAAGCCGAAACGGUUUACUGCGAGAAGGUUGAGCAGGAUGCUGCGAGAAAGAUCAUUCCCAUGAUUCUGAAGAAAGGUUCCGAGUCCUGUAACCUCUUUCUUAAAUCCCUUAAAAAGUGGAACCCUCCUCUAUUUCAGGACUUGAAUGGACAAAGUCUAACAGGUCUUUGUCUUCAGAUAUCAGAAGGAGACCUGGAUGAUUUGGCUCAGGAUUUAAAGGACUUAUACCAUGCCCCCUCUUUUCUGAACUUUUAUCCCCUGGGGGAAGAUAUUGACAUUAUUUUUAAUUUGAAAAGUACCUUCACAGAACCCGUGUUGUGGAGGAAGGACCGACACCAUCAUCGUGUGGAGCAGCUGAGCCUGGGUGGUCUGCUGGAGACCCUUCAGAGCCCCUGCAUUAUCGAGGGGGAAUCGGGCAAAGGAAAGUCCACUCUGCUGCAGCGGAUCGCCAUGCUCUGGGCCUCUGGGGAGUGCAGGGCUCUGAGCAAUUUCAAAUUUGUCUUCUUUAUCCGUCUAAGCAGGGCCCAGGGCGGACUCUUUGAAACCCUGUGUGAUCAGCUCCUGGAUAUACCUGAUACCAUCGGGAAGCAGACUUUCCCGGCCAUGCUGCUAAAGCUACGGCAGAGGGUUCUUUUUCUCUUAGAUGGCUACAAUGAGUUCAACUCCCAGAACUGUCCAGAAAUCGAAGCCCUGAUAAAGGAAAACCAUCGCUACAAGAACAUGGUCAUAGUUACCACCACCACCGAGUGCCUGAGGCACAUCAGGCAGUUUGGUGCCCUGAUUGCUGAGGUAGGGGAUAUGACAGAGGACAGUGCCCAGGUACUUAUCCGAGAAGUGCUGAUAAAGGAGUUGGCGGAGGGCUUAUUGCUCCAAAUUCAGAAAUCCAGAUGCUUGAGGAAUCUGAUGAAGACCCCUCUCUUUGUGGUCAUCACUUGUGCAAUCCAGAUGGGUGAAAGUGAGUUCCACUCUUACACCCAAACCACACUGUUCCGUACCUUCUAUGACCUGCUGAUUCAUAAAAACAAGCACAAACAUAAAGGCAUGUCUGCAAGGGACUUCACUCGGAGCCUGGAGCACUGUGGAGACCUGGCUCUGGAGGGUGUCUUCUCCCAUAGGUUUGAUUUUCAACCAGAGGACAUGUCCCUUGUGAAUGAGAGUGUCCUACUGACAACCGGACUGCUCUGUAAGUACACAGCUCAAAGGUUCAAGCCAAAGUACAAAUUCUUCCAUAAAUCAUUCCAGGAGUACACAGCCGGACGAAGACUCAGCUCAUUAUUGAUGUCUCGUGAGCCAGAGGAGGUGGCCAAAGGCAACAGUUACUUGCAGAAAAUGGUUUCUAUUUCAGACAUUACGUCCAUCUAUAGCAACCUGCUCCUGUACACGUGCGGAUCAUCAGUCGAAGCCACCAGGGCCAUUAUGAAACACCUUGCAGCUGUGUAUGAACACGGCAACCUUGUUGGACUUGCCGUCACCAAGAGGCCUCUGUGGAGGCAGGAAUCCUUGCAAAAUCCAAAAAACACCACUGAGCAAGAAAUUCUGAAAGCCGUAAACAUCAGUUCCUUUGCAGAGUGUGGCGUCAAUUUAUUCCAUGAGAGCAUAUCCAAAUCAGCCCUGAGCCAAGAGUUUGAAGAUUUCUUUAGAGGCAAAAGCUUGUAUAUUAAUGCAGAGAACAUCCCUGAUUACUUAUUUGACUUCUUUGAACACUUGCCCAAUUGUGCAAGUGCUCUGGACUUCAUUAAACUGGACUUCUACGGAGGAGAAACAGCAUCACAGUCCGAGACGGCCGAAGACACAGGCAGAAUCCCUACGGAACGGUCCUCCAAAACCUACAUUCCCAGUAGGGCUGUAUCUUUGUUCUUCAACUGGAAGCAGAAAUUCAAAAGCCUGGAGGUCACACUGAGGGAUUUCAGCAAGUUGAAUAAGCAAGAUGUUAAAUAUCUGGGAAAGAUAUUUAGCUCAGCCACAAGCCUCAGGCUGUCCAUUAAAAAAUGUGCAGGGGUGGCUGGAAGCCUCAGUUUGGUCCUCAGUACCUAUAAGGACAUCCAUUCUCUUAUGGUGGAAGCCAGUCCCCUCACCAUCGAAGACGAGAAGCAUAUCACGUCUGUGACAAACCUGGAGACUUUGAGUAUUCACAACCUACAGACUCAACGCCUGCCAGGUGGUCUGACUGACAGCUUGGGUAAUUUGAAGAACCUUACAAAGCUCGUAUUGGAUAACCUUGUGAUGAAUGAAGACGAUUGUAUAAAACUAGCUGAGGGUUUGAAAAACCUGAGAAAGAUGUGUUUGUUUUGUUUGACUCGCUUGUCUGACAUCGGGGAGGGAAUGGAUUACAUAAUCAGGUCUUUAUCAAGGGAACCCUGUGACCUUGAAGAAAUCCAAUUAGUCUCCUGCUGCCUGUCUGCAAAUGCUGUGAAAACCCUAGCUCAGAAUCUUCACAAUUUGGUCAAACUGAAUGUUCUCGAUUUAUCAGAAAACCACCUGGAAGAUGGAAAUAAAGCUCUACAUGAACUGAUCGACAGGCUGAACGUGCUGGAGCAGUUGACUGCACUGAUGCUCCCCUGGUGCCACGGCGCACGAGACAACCUGCCUCGCCUGUUGGAGCAACUGGAAGAGGCACCGCAGGUCGUCAAGCUGGGGUUGAAAGACUGGAGACUCGGAGAUGAAGACAUUAUCAUUUUAGGUACAUUUUUUGAAAAGAAGCCUCUGAAAAACUUACAGCUGUUGGAUUUGGCGGGAAAUUGUGUGAGCAGUGAUGGAUGGCUUGCCUUCAUGGGUCUAAUUCAGGAGGACCUCAAAGACAAAUGUAGCAAGCUACUCAGUGAUGAUUAGAUACUUUUAAAAAAAGAGAGAGAGAGAGAUUCAUGAAGAAGGAAGAUAGAAAUAACAUUAUGAAGCAAGGCAGAAUGGUACUGAGAUACGGUAUGUGCAUUUGCGAUGGCAGCUUUUGAACUACCCCAAAUAUCUCCAUAAAAACAGAUUAAACAGGACCAGCAGGCAGUGUGGCGGAUAAAGGCGCUGGAUGCCCACAUGGCUGACCAUGCA